CGACGCCGUGGCCUCCUCUACCGUCAGCCGGUUCCGGAUCGUCUCGUAGGUUUUGCUGUUCAAGGUGGAGUCCAGCACGCCUUGCAAUCGGAAAUCCCGCAGAACGCUUAUUGCCCAUAACCACAGACGUGAUUACACGUUCCCGGAAUGCUCCGUAUUAAACAAUCCUACCUACAGCAUAGGGAUUAAAUAAACUAAGUCCAGGAUACUGGAGGAAAUUAUUGAAGUAUAAAUAUAAGCACACGGCACAUGUUUCUUAAAUCUCUCUUUCUUCACCUCAAAUUGGAGUUGCAGUUCCAUGGUUCCCGUAUUUCCCUUGUUAUUACAAUUAACAUCUCUCAUUUGAAUUUAUGUUUAUAAACUUUUCGACUCUGUGAGAUAAAACUCUGGUCUCGUUGUUCAUUUAAUUCUGCUCUGUGCUCUGUGUGGAAACUAUUUACUGUUCUGCUAUUUCAGAAAGUCCUUGGGUUUGUUGUAGCUGCUUCUGAACGUAAUAUUGGUAUAAAUAAAGCACAAGAAAGCUUUCCUCAGCUAGCUGACAAGUAGAAA